AGUGAACGCUGGCGGUAGGCCUAACACAUGCAAGUCGAACGGCAGCACAGUAAGAGCUUGCUCUUACGGGUGGCGAGUGGCGGACGGGUGAGGAAUACAUCGGAAUCUACUUUUUCGUGGGGGAUAACGUAGGGAAACUUACGCUAAUACCGCAUACGACCUACGGGUGAAAGCAGGGGAUCUUCGGACCUUGCGCGAUUGAAUGAGCCGAUGUCGGAUUAGUUAGUUGGCGGGGUAAAGGCCCACCAGGGCGAGGAUCCGUAGCUGGUCUGAGAGGAGGGUCGGCACCAUUGGAAAUGAGCACGGGUCAGGACUCCUACGGAAGGCAGAAGUGGGGAAUAUUGGACAGUGGGGGGAAGCCUGAUCCAGCCAUACGGAGUGGGUGAAGAAGGCCUUCGGGUUGUAAAGCCCUUUUGUUGGGAAAAAAAAGCAGCAGGUUAAUACCCCGCUGUUCUGACGGUACCCAAAGAAUAAGCACCGGCUAACUUCGU
rnacentral:rRNA from 1 species